rnacentral:rRNA from 1 species
GGUUGAUCCUGCCAGUAGUCAUAUGCUUGUCUCAAAGAUUAAGCCAUGCAUGUCUAAGUAUAAACACUUGUACUGUGAAACUGCGAAUGGCUCAUUAAAUCAGUUAUAGUUUAUUUGAUAGUCUCUUACUACAUGGAUAACCGUGGUAAUUCUAGAGCUAAUACAUGCAUAAAAGCCCGACUUUUUGGGAGGGCUGUAUUUAUUAGAUAAAAACCUUUGCAGAUUUCUGCUUUUUGGUGAUUCAUAAUAACUUUACGAAUCGAAUGGCCUUGUGCUGUCGAUAUUUCAUUCAA